UACGUAGGUGACAAGCGUUAUCCGGAAUUACUGGGCGUAAAGCGCACGCAGGCGGCUGAUUAAGUCUGACGUGAAAUCUCCCGGCUUAACUGGGAGGGGUCGUUGGAAACUGGUUGGCUUGAGGCAGUGAGAGGGGUGUGGAAUUCCCGGUGUAGUGGUGGAAUGCGUAGAUAUCGGGAGGAACACCAGUGGCGAAAGCGGCACCCUGGCACUGGCCUGACGCUCAUGUGCGAAAGCGUGGGUAGCGAACGGGAUUAGAUACCCCGGUAGUCCACGCUGUAAACGAUGAGUACUAGGUGUGGGUGGAGUCAAAUCUAUCUGUGCCGAAGCAAACGCGCUAAGUACUCCGCCUGGGGAGUACGGCCGCAAGGCUAAA
rnacentral:rRNA from 1 species